UGAAGCUUAGGUUGUAAAUGUCAC
rnacentral:piRNA from 1 species